rnacentral:rRNA from 1 species
UACGUAGGGCGCAAGCGUUGUCCGGAAUUAUUGGGCGUAAAGAGCUCGUAGGCGGUUUGUCGCGUCUGUCGUGAAAGCCCACGGCUUAACCGUGGGUCUGCGGUGGAUACGGGCAGACUAGAGGCAGGUAGGGGAGAAUGGAAUUCCCGGUGUAGCGGUGAAAUGCGCAGAUAUCGGGAGGAACACCGGUGGCGAAGGCGGCCUGCUGGGCUGUUGCUGACGCUGAGGCGCGACAGCGUGGGGAGCAAACAGG